GACCCAUUAGCUCAGUUGGUAGAGCACCGGACUUUUAAUCCGGGUGUCCCGCGUUCGAGUCGCGGAUGGGUCACCA
rnacentral:tRNA from 1 species